CGGGGCCCGCACAAGCGGUGGAGCAUUGUGGUUUAAUUCGAAGCAACGACGAAGAACCUUUACCAGGUCUUGACAUCCCGAUGCUUAUUUCUAGAGAUAGAAAGUUACUUCGGUACAUCGGUGACAGGUGGUGCAUGGUUGUCGUCAGCUCGUGUCGUGAGAUGUUGGGUUAAGUCCCGCAACGAGCGCAACCCCUAUUGUUAGUUGCCAUCAUUCAGUUGGGCACUCUAGCGAGACUGCCGGUAAUAAACCGGAGGAAGUGGGAUGACGUCAAAUCAUCAUGCCCCUUAUGACCUGGGCUACACACGUGCUACAAUGGUUGGUACAACGAGUUGCGAGUCGGUGACGGCGAGCUAAUCUCUUAAAGCCAAUCUCAGUUCGGAUUGUAGGCUGCAACUCGCCUACAUGAAGUCGGAAUCGCUAGUAAUCGCAGGUCAGCAUACUGCGGUGAAUACGUUCCCGGGCCUU
rnacentral:rRNA from 1 species